rnacentral:rRNA from 1 species
AACGAACGCUGGCGGCGUGCUUAACACAUGCAAGUCGAACGAGAAAAUCGUAGACAAUACGGUGAGUAAAGUGGCGCACGGGUCCGUAACACGUGGAUAAUCUGCCUUCGGGUGGGGGAGUAACCUGUCGAAAGACGAGCUAAUACCCCGUAACGACCACGAGAACUUCGGUUCUUGAGGUAAAGAUGGCCUCUAUUUAUAAGCUAUCACCUGAAGAUGAGUCCGCGCACCAUUAGCUAG